CGUGUAGGCGGUCAGGUAAGUGGAAUGUGAAAUGCCCCGGCUCACCCGGGGACCGGCAUCCCAAACUGCCUGGCUUGAGUAUGGGAGAGGAUGGAGGAAUUCCUGGUGUAGCGGUGAAAAUGCGUAGAUAUCAGGAGGAACACCGGUGGCGAAGGCGUCCAUCUGGCCCAAUACUGACGCUGAGGCGCGAAAGCUAGGGGAGCAAACGG
rnacentral:rRNA from 1 species